CAGCAGGAGGACAGUUUAUCAGUCAGAUACCUUUACAUGUGUUCCCAGCUAAAUACAGCAAAUUGAUUUCUCUUACUCUUCCAUACAGACAUUGGUACAACCGAGACAUUGUGAAAACAUGAAGACGGUGAUUCUUGCUUUUCUGGUACUGCUGGUUGUCAGCCAGGGUGAAGCCUUGAUAUGUAAGUGUGGAGGCCAGCGGUACUGUUCACAUGCGAGGGAGCCUGUCCCGCCUUCUACCAGGGUUGUAUGAGAGCUGUUGACUGCAUGGCCAUGAUUCGUCCCGGUAUAUCAAAUGCCCAUUGCUGCAGUACUGAUCUGUGCAACGUAAUUCAGCAAUGAGGAUGUUUUACAGCUUAAUUCAAUUCUCAUUCUCAUUUGCCAUCAUAACGUUGUCUGGUUCAUGCCAAACCUCAACACAUGGUCCUUAAAAAAUGAGUUUUAAGCUUGGAAUAUUUACAGUAAUUAGACUUUGUGCAAGAAAUGAAUUGUCAAACUACAAUUUCCAAGGUCAAUAAUGGACUUGUAAGGAUUUCAUUUUUUCAUUUGAAGAUAUUUUAUUAAUUGUAAUCUGUUGUUAUUAUAAUAAAAUGUUAAUAAAUGCAAAACUUUUCAACAUUUA